rnacentral:rRNA from 1 species
UGGGGAAUAUUGGACAAUGGGCGCAAGCCUGAUCCAGCCAUGCCGCGUGAGUGAAGAAGGCCCUAGGGUUGUAAAGCUCUUUCACCGGUGAAGAUAAUGACGGUAACCGGAGAAGAAGCCCCGGCUAACUUCGUGCCAGCAGCCGCGGUAAUACGAAGGGGGCUAGCGUUGUUCGGAUUUACUGGGCGUAAAGCGCACGUAGGCGGACUAUUAAGUCAGGGGUGAAAUCCCGGGGCUCAACCCCGGAACUGCCUUUGAUACUGGUAGUCUUGAGUUCGAGAGAGGUGAGUGGAAUUCCGAGUGUAGAGGUGAAAUUCGUAGAUAUUCGGGGGAACACCAGUGGCGAAGGCGGCUCACUGGCUCGAUACUGACGCUGAGGUGCGAAAGCGUGGGGAGCAAACAGG